rnacentral:rRNA from 1 species
AGGACGAACGCUGGCGGCGUGCUUAACACAUGCAAGUCGAGCGGAAAGGCCCUUCGGGGUACUCGAGCGGCGAACGGGUGAGUAACACGUGAGUAAUCUGCCCUAGCUCUGGGAUAGCUCCGGGAAACCGGGAUUAAUACCGGAUACGACCACUUUAGACAUCUGUUGUGGUGGAAAGAAUUUUGGCUAGGGAUGAGCUCGCGGCCUAUCAGCUUGUUGGUGGGGUAACGGCCUACCAAGGCGACGACGGGUA